rnacentral:rRNA from 1 species
GCUGUCGUCAGCUCGUGUCGUGAGAUGUCGGGUUAAGUCCCUUAACGAGCGAAACCCUUGUCUCUAGUUGCCAGCGGGUAAUGCCGGGGACUCUAGAGAGACUGCCGGUGUCAAACCGGAGGAAGGCGGGGAUGACGUCAAGUCCUCAUGGCCUUUAUGUCUAGGGCUGCACACGUCCUACAAUGCAACAUACAAAGGGAAGCAAUACC